rnacentral:misc_RNA from 1 species
UUUCCGUAGGUGAACCUGCGGAAGGAUCAUUACUAGAGCAAAGGAUAGACACUACCCUACUUCGGUAGGGUUUAGAGUCGUCGGGCCUCUCGGAGAAGCUCGGUCCUGAACUCCACCCUUGAAUAAAUUACCUUUGUUGCUUUGGCGGGCCGCCUCGUGCCAGCGGCUUCGGCUGUUGAGUGCCCGCCAGAGGACCACAACUCUUGUUUUUAGUGAUGUCUGAGUACUAUAUAAUAGUUAAAACUUUCAACAACGGAUCUCUUGGUUCUG